rnacentral:tRNA from 1 species
GUUUCGUUGGUGCAGUGGUAGCAUGCCCUCUUAGGGUUCCAGCGUUUAAACGCAAUGGAGCAUUGGGGGUGGUCCUCGGUUCAAUCCCGGGACGAGACC